UACGAAGGGUGCAAGCGUUAAUCGGAAUUACUGGGCGUAAAGCGCGCGUAGGUGGUUCAGUAAGUUGGAUGUGAAAUCCCCGGGCUCAACCUGGGAACUGCAUCCAAAACUGCUGAGCUAGAGUACGGUAGAGGGUGGUGGAAUUUCCUGUGUAGCGGUGAAAUGCGUAGAUAUAGGAAGGAACACUAGUGGCGAAGGCGACCACCUGGACUGAUACUGACACUGAGGUGCGAAAGCGUGGGGAGCAAACAGG
rnacentral:rRNA from 1 species